rnacentral:rRNA from 1 species
GGCGCUACCAUGCAGUCGAGCGAACCUUCGGGUUAGCGGCGGACGGGUGAGUAACGCGUGGGAACGUACCCUCUUCUGCGGGAUAGCCACUGGAAACGGUGAGUAAUACCGCAUACGCCCUUCGGGGGAAAGAUUUAUCGGAGGAGGAUCGGCCCGCGUUGGAUUAGGUAGUUGGUGGGGUAAUGGCCUACCAAGCCUACGAUCCAUAGCUGGUUUUAGAGGAUGAUCAGCCACACUGGGACUGAGACACGGCCCAGACUCCUACGGGAGGCAGCAGUGGGGAAUCUUAGACAAUGGGCGCAAGCCUGAUCUAGCCAUGCCGCGUGAGUGACGAAGGCCUUAGGGUCGUAAAGCUCUUUCGCCAGAGAUGAUAAUGACAGUAUCUGGUAAAGAAACCCCGGCUAACUCCGUGCCAGCAGCCGCGGUAAUACGGAGGGGGUUAGCGUUGUUCGGAAUUACUGGGCGUAAAGCGCACGUAGGCGGAUUGGAAAGUUGGGGGUGAAAUCCCAGGGCUCAACCCUGGAACUGCCUCCAAAACUCCCAGUCUGGAGUUCGAGAGAGGUGAGUGGAAUUCCGAGUGUAGAGGUGAAAUUCGUAGAUAUUCGGAGGAACACCAGUGGCGAAGGCGGCUCACUGGCUCGAUACUGACGCUGAGGUGCG